GAGACCCACGCCAACAGUUGCCAGCAUGUCCUCCGGGAUGGUGGGGACACUGUUGGGACCGCCUCUGCUAAAGAGGAGGAAGGAAUGGGCAACGGUAGGUCAGCAUGCCCCGAAUUAUCCGGGCUACACGCGGGCUACAAUGGUCAGGACAAUGGGUAUCGACACCGAAAGGUGAAGGCAAUCUCCUAAACCCAUCCUUAGUUCGGAUUGUGGGCUGCAACUCGCCCACAUGAAGCUGGAAUCCGUAGUAAUCGCGUCUCAAAAUGGCGCGGUGAAUAU
rnacentral:rRNA from 1 species